UCAGGAUGAACGCUGGCGGCGUGCUUAACACAUGCAAGUCGAACGAAGCGCUUUACCUUGAUUCCUUCGGGUUGAUUGGUACUGUGACUGAGUGGCGGACGGGUGAGUAACGCGUGGGUAACCUGCCCCAUACAGGGGGAUAACAGAUAGAAAUGUCUGCUAAUACCGCAUAAGACCACAGCGCCGCAUGGCGCAGGGGUAAAAACUCCGGUGGUAUGGGAUGGACCCGCGUCUGAUUAGCUAGUUGGAAGGGUAACGGCCUACCAAGGCAACGAUCAGUAGCCGACCUGAGAGGGUGACCGGCCACAUUGGGACUGAGACACGGCCCAAACUCCUACGGGAGGCAGCAGUGGGGAAUAUUGCACAAUGGGGGAAACCCUGAUGCAGCGACGCCGCGUGAAGGAUGAAGUAUUUCGGUAUGUAAACCUCUAUCAGCAGGGAAGAAAAUGACGGUACCUGACUAAGAAGCCCCGGCUAACUACGUGCCAGCAGCCGCGGUAAUACGUAGGGGGCAAGCGUUAUCCGGAUUUACUGGGUGUAAAGGGAGCGUAGACGGCAUGGCAAGUCUGAUGUGAAAACCCGGGGCUCAACCCCGGGACUGCAUUGGAAACUG
rnacentral:rRNA from 1 species